rnacentral:rRNA from 1 species
AGUGAACGCUGGCGGUAGGCCUAACACAUGCAAGUCGAACGGCAGCACAGUAAGAGCUUGCUCUUACGGGUGGCGAGUGGCGGACGGGUGAGGAAUACAUCGGAAUCUACUUUUUCGUGGGGGAUAACGUAGGGAAACUUACGCUAAUACCGCAUACGACCUACGGGUGAAAGCAGGGGAUCUUCGGACCUUGCGCGAUUGAAUGAGCCGAUGUCGGAUUAGCUAGUUGGCGGGGUAAAGGCCCACCAAGGCGACGAUCCGUAGCUGGUCUGAGAGGAUGAUCAGCCACACUGGAACUGAGACACGGUCCAGACUCCUACGGGAGGCAGCAGUGGGGAAUAUUGGACAAUGGGCGCAAGCCUGAUCCAGCCAUACCGCGUGGGUGGAGAAGGCCUUCGGGUUGUAAAGCCCUUUUGUUGGGAAAGAAAAGCAGCAGGUUAAUACCCCGCUGUUCUGACGGUACCCAAAGAAAAAGCACCGGCUAACUUCGUG